rnacentral:misc_RNA from 1 species
AAGUCGUAACAAGGUAACCGUAGGUGAACCUGCGGUUGGAUCAUUACUAAAUCCAAUUUGUUGACGGGUCGCAAGACUCGAAGACAUUCACACCUUUGUGCAUCAAAUUUGUCGAGUUCGCGCGUGAGAGCGCGCGCGUCCUCUUCGCUUUUAAACACCUAUAUUUUGACUUAAAUCUUUUCUGUUUACAGAAAAAAGCUAAUGAGAAACAACUUUUGACAACGGAUCUCUUGGCUCUC